CCCCGAAUGACGUCACCACGUUGCGGAGCGUCAUUUACCUGGCAGGGCGCCUAAGCGGCUCAAACGCUCAAAAGUUUGGUUAUACUUUACGAGAACAGAUGACAACGGGGCAACUUGCAAUACUUGCAAAGUAGAUAUUUCAUUUAAAGGAGGAAACACUACGAAUAUGCAAAAGCAUUUGCUCACAAAACACGCGAUGAACUUAAAUGAAUGUCGUGUUUUUAAUUCCACUCCGGACUCAUGAAUCUCAACCCAGCAGCAGCGGUAACGUUUGCACGUCAUCUCCCGUUAAUGCGGCAGGUGACCAUGAUGAGAGAGACAGACAGAGUCUGGCUGGCAGUUCUUGCUGCAGUCUACCGGUAGCGUCUCCUUUCAGGCCAGGAUAGACAAAUGUCACCGAGCAGUGACUUAAGUUUGUGGUCAAAGGCUUGCACCCAUUUGCCACAGCAGAUGCCCCCGAUUUUCGACUGGGAUGGAGCUGUGGUUUCUUGCUUUUCCUCUGAUGGUUUUUGUUCAGCCUGCAGGGAUGAUUUCACACUUAUACAACAGUACUGCUGCACUGGUCAGUUCCCCCACAGCUGAAGGAGACACUUUCUCCAGCUCUCCUGGUCAGAGUUAAAUCACUCUGUAUCAGCUCUUCAGCCACAGUAAUCACUGGGGUAGAGACACAGACAGUACACAGCUGCAGUGCUGCACUGGUCAGUUCCCCCACAGCUGAAGGAGACACUUUCUCCAGCUCUCCUGGUCAGAGUCAAAUCAUUUUGUAUCAGCUCUGUGGCCAUGGUAAACAGCGCUGCAGAGACACACACAGUGGUUGGAGUGGUUUCCACACCUAAUCGAAUCAGUUUGGAUCACUUUGCUUCACCUGAACACCCUGACAGUAUUUACACACUGCUGUCUGACUGCAUUCAGCUGACACUGAGAUGAAGCAGAAAAGAAGCAGCUGGUGAAGGUAGAAAGUGUGUGUGAGCUGAUGUGGAUGUGAAUUCAGCAGCAUGGAUCAGUGUGAGGACAGAGAGGAGGGAGUCCCUCCCUCUAAAACCACUCUGUGUGGGGAACAUGAGAGCCAGACCAAAGCUCAGAGUUCAGAGCAGCGGUACGCACUGUAUUCUGCCAGACCUGGGCCCAGCUGCAGAUCCCUAACGACUGACUUGUACUUGGAGUUACACGUGUUUUUUACUCGAAAGCGUCUCCCUUCCAGUUGGUCCUCCUCACUGUUUUGUGGAGUGAAUCAAGCACAAGACUGUACUAAACUUGAACCUGAAUCUAAACAUGAACUGAUGCCUGAAACAACAAGCAUACCUGAACAAGAAGCCUCUGCGACUUCAAAUCUUCAGAUCCUCGGUUGUAAACAUGUCAUGGAUCAGGAUCAGGCUGGGCCCCGGCAGAUGAUCUGUCCAGUGUUGAACAGCAGUGCUAAAACACCUAUCCACCUCAGCGUACAACAUCACGUUUGACACCACAUUCAUGCUUGGCAUAGAGUUUAACACAAGAGAUAAAUGCACAGUAAAUUUUUACCUCUAAUAUGGAGACACCUUGAGAUAGGAAACAAAAUUGGGAAGCUUUGUCAGCCUCAGGGAUCAACAGACUGCACUCUGAUAACAAAAUCACAGGCAGGAUGACAAAGACCAAACAGCAAAGAGUAAACUCAGGUAAAAAAGACAGACGGGCUUUUAAAGGAAUGGUUGUGGGAAACUCUGGAGACUUUGGGAACUGAGGAGCUGAAAAACUUCAAGUGGUGUCUGCAAAAUGUUACUGAGUCAAAGGAUGGCUUCAAGCCAAUCAAAAAGAGUCGACUGGAGAACGCAGACAGACUGGACACAGUGGACCUGAUGGUGCAGAUGUACGAUACAAAGACUGCAGAGGUGACGAAGAAGAUUUUAAGGAAGAUCAAAAGGAAUGAAGGACAACCCUUUCCCCAAAUUCUGCUGCAGGAUCAACCAGCUAAUGCCACAGGUAUGUGUUCAUUAUGGUACUAAGUCAUACUACACUAAGACUGAUAAUAUAAGUGUAAUAUUUAAGGGGGGAGACCAAAUAGCUGCCAGUCUGAUUUAAUCUAAACCUUUCUCAUCUUUCCACAAUUCACUAACUUUCAUCUGUGUGAAAAGGUGAGAAAGUCUGCCCAAAAAGGAAAUCUACUUCUUCUCUCUAUAACUCAGUUUGAUAUUUAACUGCAAGAAGCAUUCAACUCCAGUCAAACAGAUCUUUAGUUAAUCUGCUAUAUGAGGUGGACAAUUUCUCAGUUUCCUAGACUUCCAAAAGUAACGUAUUUUUAGGACUACACAUAUAUAUAUAUAUAUAAACACCCAGCGCGCCCCUGCGGGCGGUUUAUCCUUCAAGCUCGGGUCCUCUACCAGAGGCCUGGGAGCUUGAGGGUCCUGCGCAGUAUCUUAGCUGUUCCCAGGACUGCGCUCUUCUGGACAGAGAUCUCCGAUGUUGUUCCCGGGAUCUGCUGGAGCCACUCGCCUAGCUUGGGAGUCACCGCACCUAGUGCUCCGAUUACCACGGGGACCACCGUCACCUUCACCCUCCACAUCCUCUCGAGCUCUUCUCUGAGCCCUUGGUAUUUCUCCAGCUUCUCGUGUUCCUUCUUCCUGAUAUUGCUGUCAUUCGGAACCGCUACAUCGAUCACUACGGCCGUCUUCUUCUGUUUGUCUACCACCACUAUGUCCGGUUGGUUAGCCACCACCAUUUUGUCCGUCUGCAUCUGGAAGUCCC
ensembl:lncRNA